rnacentral:rRNA from 1 species
AAUAUUGGUCAAUGGUCGAAAGACUGAACCAGCCAUGUCGCGUGAAGGAUGACGGCCCUAUGGGUUGUAAACUUCUUUUGUAUGGGAAGAAAAAGCAGUUUACGGUGUAAUUGUCUGCCCGGUACCAUAUGAAAUAAGGAUCGGCUAAACUCCCGUGCCAGCAGCCCGCGGGUAAAUACGGGAGGAUUUCGAGCGUUAUCCGGAUUUUAUUGGGUUUAAAGGGUCCGUAGGCGGGGCAAAUUAAGUCAGUGGUGAAAUCCCCAGAGCUCAACUCUGGAACUGCCAUUGAUACUGGUUGUCUUGAAUUUAGUUGAGGUGGGCGGAAUACGUUAUGUAGCGGUGAAAUGCAUAGAUAUAACGUAGAACACCGAUUGCGAAGGCAGCUCACUAAACUAAUAUUGACGCUGAUGGACGAAAGCGUGGGGAGCGAACAGGAUUAGAUACCCUGGUAGUCCACGCCGUA